UACAGAGGUCUCAAGCGUUGUUCGGACUCAUUGGGCGUAAAGGGUGCGUAGGUGGCGCCGUAAGUCGGGUGUGAAAUUUCGGAGCUUAACUCCGAAACUGCAUUCGAUACUGCGGUGCUUGAGGACUGGAGAGGAGACUGGAAUUCAUGGUGUAGCAGUGAAAUGCGCAGAUAUCGUGAGGAAGACCAGUGGCGAAGGCGGGUCUCUGGACAGUUCCUGACACUGAGGCACGAAAGCUAGGGGAGCAAACAGG
rnacentral:rRNA from 1 species